rnacentral:rRNA from 1 species
GCGCACCAGUCGCGAAACCUCCGCAAUACACGAAAGUGUGACGGGGCCAUCCCGAGUGCCGUCCGCUGAGGACGGCUUUUCCCCAGUGUACACAGCUGGGGGAAUAAGGAGAGGGCAAGCCUGGCGUCAGCCGCCGCGGUAAUACCAGCUCUCCGAGUGGUGGGGACGCUUAUUGGGCCUAAAGCAUCCGUAGCCGGCUGGGCAAGUCCUCCGUUAAAUCCACGGGCCUAACCCGUGGGCUGCGGGGGAUACUACCUGGCUUGGGGGUGGGAGAGGGCGGCGGUAUUCCCGGGGUAGGGGUAAAAUCCUCUGAUCCCGGGAGGACCACCGGUGGCGAAGGCGGCCGCCCAGAACACGCCCGACGGUGAGGGACGAAAGCUGGGGGAGC